ACUGAGAUAACAACACAGAGAACAAGUUAGAUAUACAAGGUAAUCUCUGAGACUUUUUUUUUUGAUGCUAACAAUUGGACAUUUGUUCUGGAUGAUUAAACAACUUGACUUAAAAGUAAAUACACAUAAUUUCUAGUAUGGUUAUGGCUUGGACUUAAAAGUAAAUACACAUAUUUGCUUCUAUUUGGGUACUAAUGAUGGACAUCUCUACAAAACAAUGCAACUAGAACACCCAUGUCCAAGAUAACUUUGACCUUCCAUGCAUCAAUUUACUUCAAAGAGAAAUAUCUUCAACACUUGAAAUGCCUUACUUCAAACAUUCAUGUCACUUUUGCAGUCCUUGACCUUGUAAAGUGACACAAGUUGCAAAGACUUCAGCACAACUUAUUAUGGA
rnacentral:lncRNA from 1 species